UCAUUUCGCUCUUACUCACCUUCGUCCCUCUCACUCUCAUUUCCCAUUUCCCUCUCACUCNCGUUCGAAGUCUUUUUCGUGUAAGCCUUAUUUCUCUCUGAGUCAAGUUCUUCACUACUCAUCCUCAAUCCGUAAAUUCUCGUUCCAUCGUUCAUCAUUUGUGGUGAUGAAGCCAUCAAACGGGAGUUCUACCGUCAUUGUGAAGCAUGGGGUAAGAAUAUAAGCAAUCCAUAUUAAACAUAGUACAUGUUUGAAGGGGAGGAGGAAAUCGUGGAGAGAGGCACAACAAAUCGCAACCUGGUUGGGGUUUAGGGUUCGAUUCGGUGCUUGCAAUCCCUAAAUCCUCUCUUUCGCAGACCAAGUCAUCGAAGUGAUUUAAGCGAAAAUAACAAGAAACAUGGUCGGAGGCUUCUGGAAGGUUCCUCGCCGCCGCUUACGCCGAUUUGGAUGCGCCCAACCUCCACUAGGAGAAGAUGGCUCUGUGUCCCGUUCCUUGCCUUGACGGAGCUACCAUUCAGAUUCGCAAUCUCCUCUUCGUCUUUGCCGGUUACGGCACCAUCGAUUAUGUGCAUUCUCACGUUGAUGUGUAGAAUUUUAAUGAUAAUACUUGGGGAGGGAGAUUCGACAUGCCGAAGCAGAUGGCGCAUUCACAUUUGGGAAUGGUGACCGAUGGUAGAUACAUUGUCGUUGUGGUUAAUUACAGUUUUUUGAUGAAUAUAGCUCUAAGCUGUUGGAAUCUUCCAAUUAUAUUACAAGGCGUCAAGCUAUUAUAUGUCAUCUAUUGCUACUUUUAUUCUUGUUCGAUAAUUGAAUUUGUUCAUGUAUAUUUGUUGAGUGAUUUUCAUAUCAGUGAUGCACAAUACAAGAGUCAAUUUAUUAUCCAACAUUCUGAUUUCCUAUUAAAUUGUGUUAUCUUGUUUUUCAUAUUCUAAUUUACAUUAAAGCUAACAACUUGUUUGGUCUAUUUUUCUCUUUAAAAAUUGUGUUAUCUUGUUUGUCAGAUUCUAGUUUACAUUAAAGCUAACAGCUUGUUUAGUCAUAUGUUACUUCUUGGUUGAAUUUUCAGAGUUUUUAUGGUGACAUGAUUGUAUGUUUAUCAUUUAAUCUUAUCUCUACAUUGAUUUCAGAGGCUCGGUGAAACAUUGNAUUUCAAAAUUAAGUGUNNNGCUGCANGAAAAGANGGGAACUUGCGUGCUAUGCUUUCCACCUUACAAUAUGUAUAUACUUUCUACACACACCUUGGAAAAAUCUCUGAAUUUCUCUGUUCCUUAUCUAUAUGAACAUAUGUAAGUUUGGUAGUUUAUGCUUUCCUGUUUUGCUUAAGGCAUGGAUUCAAACCAUAACUACUCUGUUUAUAUCUUUUUUAGAAAUCAUAUAUCUAAUAAAGGUACCAAAACAAAGCUAAAUAGAUUGAACUAAUCAAAAUAAUUGAUCAAAAGGAAAAUCUAUGAUGNAGUUAUUUGGUUUUGCUCUCCCUCUAAAUGUUUCUCCAUCAUUUCUGAAACUGAUGUUUAAUUCUGAACCAAAACAAUUAAAGUAGCUGUCGUAAGACCCAAAAUAUAUAUAAUAAUAUUUUCAAAAUUCAGUAUAAUAAACUAAUUGGGGAAAUUCUAUUAAUAUUAUAAAAGUUAAUUNAUGAAUAAUUCUACGUGAGUUCGUUAGAACUUCUUACCAAAAAGAGCUAAUAGGUUCAACUUCAUUAAAAUACUUUUUUUAUUAAAGAUUUAAUAAGAAUUAAAACUACCAAUUGGUUAUGUACCUCAAUUUAUUAAAAUAUGAAAUGAUUUGGGGUUCUUGGGUUCAACUUUGAAACCGUGCAAAUAUUGAAUUAUUUACUUUGUAACAUUAGCUAAUCUAUCCUCGUUGACAGUAAGUGUCACAUUUUGCUUUUGUGUUUUCUUCUCAUGNAUGCCCCCUGUAUUUUGCUUCUCUAUUUUUUCACUUUUAAUGAUUGAUUAUAUGAUUCACAUGUAAUCUCUGAAAGUGAUGUUGUUCCAUCUGGAUAUGGUGAUGCUAUUGUAAAUGAGAGCAUUUAUGUUUAUUUAGAAUUACAAGGAACUAAUUCUGCAGANGCAGAACAAGGGAAGAUCAANAAGAUAGAAGAGNUGAGGAAGUAUGUUUUAUAUUCUAUUNUUUUUUAAACUGCAUUUUAACACUUGAGUUAUGAAUGAAAAGGGGUAAAAGGUGACCAGAGUAUAUGAUGAAGGAAAUUAUUAGAAGGGAUUUCAUAAUGAAUAACGCUUGAACAAUAUACACAUGAAUUUAUUUUGUUGAAAACUUAGCUCUUUUUUUUCCCUUUUUCUUAACGGUUUUCAAUUAAAAGACUGGUGUUUCUUUCUAUGCAGGCAAAUAGAAAGACUAGAGAAGAUUAUGAAUGCUCCAGGUUAUGAAGAGAAGGUUUUUCCAAAUGUUCGAGCAAAGAACCAGGAAAAGCUAGAUUCCCUAAAGGAGCGUUUAUUGCUUGAGGAAACGGUCUGAAUCUCUAGCUUCUAAGUAUGAACUCGAUUGCUAUAUUAUACAAAUUUUGGUUAGCUUGUGCUACUGGGUUUUUUUUUAAUCUUUUCAAUUGAAAUUAACAUGUACUAUAUUGAUUAUCAAUGCUGCUAUUUUUCUCGUUUAAUUUGGUUAUAUAUAUUUGAUUCAUUAAUUCAAACAUGUUAACCUAGUUACUUAAAUUCAUUAUGUUCAUUUUUUCUAUGAACAAUGCCCUACAUCUAAGAUAGCGAUCAUUACUUGAAGGAGGUGNCACUUGGUGAUAUUAAAUGUUUGGAAUGAAUUGUUUAUUGAGGGAAAGAAGAUACAUGCAUGUAUCUUUACAUUUUUGUAUCUCUCUGAUCUCCACAACUUGAACAUUUGACAUUUGAUUUUUGAAGGUUGAGAUGUUCUACCUUGUACUUUUCUGUAACUAUCACAUUGAAUAUUUGAUUUAUUCAACAUGCAUGCUGUCAUGAAUCUAUNUAGCAGGUGUUGNNGUGUUUGUUUUAAUUUAUAAUAACAAUAAUGUCUGAUCANCUAUUCUACAUUUGACAUAGCAUGCUUAUGCCCUUGCUAGAGUGUGUUUACAUGAAAAUAUACUUAAGCCUCUGCUAAUUAUUUCAUUAAUCAUUGAAUAUACUAAUGCCCUUGCUAGAGUGUGUUUAUAAUAACGAUAUGUUUUUAUUUCCACCUUCUAUAACCUUUUAUACCAUAGUUCUUGGUAUAAGUACAUUCAUGUAGUCUGUGUACAUAUUGUAUUUAUCAUCUUCCUUCAUUUUUUAGACCGUUGAGAUAUUUUCUUUUGU